CAGAGAACCUCAGACCGACCCUAACGUCCCUGCUGUGAGGCCCGCGGGCUAUGGAAUCACGCACGUCACCUGGCCCCAGCAGGGCGGCCAGCUGAGGGGUUCUUUUUAUUUUAUUUUCUUUUAUUUUUUGAAGUUAAGGCUGAAUCUGGGCUUCAGUGCUUUUGCCAACGUCUCCACUGACAGGAACCAGCAAACUUCAGGACUCAAAUGAGCGUCUUAAUUUAUUGAUGCAAAACAGGUCUGCUUGUCGCCCCCAAUUCUCGGCGCGCUCGGUCCCCCACGCCCCCAGCUUCGGUCCCUCCAUUCGAUCUCAGGAAAGCGUCAAAAAUUCCCAAAGCACCCUCCUCCCCACAAAGAUUGAUCACUUCAGAGAGAAACAUGUUUAUUUUGUACUUGCUAAACAAAUUCACAACUGGAGUCAUUGGGUUGAUUUCUUGGCCAGGUUGCCCCAUUACCUAGCAGGUCAAAAGUGGAACAUUGAGACAAUUGACAAAUAAUUAAGACAUGGUACUUAAGGAGAAUCAGAGAAGACUCUCCGGAUGAAUUCUGAGCAUCUUCACGUGGAUUUUCAUGGGGACUCCGUCUGCUGUACUCACCAGGGCUCAGCAUGGUGUCUGGCACAGAGAAGGUGCUCAACCGAUAUUAAAUGAAUAAAGAGAAAGAACGGAUUAAGGAGAUGCUUAUA